GCCAGUGUGAUGUAGUGGUUUGAGUGUUGGACUAUGACUCUGGAGACCAGGGUUCAAUUCCCCACUUGGCCA